GGAAUCUUCGGCAAUGGACGAAAGUCUGACCGAGCAACGCCGCGUGAGUGAAGAAGGUUUUCGGAUCGUAAAACUCUGUUGGUAGAGAAGAACGUUGGUGAGUGUGGAAAGCUCAUCAAGUGACGGUAACUACCCAGAAAGGGACGGCUAACUACGUGCCAGCAGCCGCGGUAAUACGUAGGUCCCGAGCGUUGUCCGGAUUUAUUGGGCGUAAAGCGAGCGCAGGCGGUCUUUUAAGUCUAAUGUGAAAGCCUUCGGCUCAACCGAAGAAGUGCAUUGGAAACUGGGAGACUUGAGUGCAGAAGAGGACAGUGGAACUCCAUGUGUAGCGGUGAAAUGCGUAGAUAUAUGGAAGAACACCAGUGGCGAAGGCGGCUCUCUGGCCUGUAACUGACACUGAGGCUCGAAAGCGUGGGGAGCAAACA
rnacentral:rRNA from 1 species